AUUGAACGCUGGCGGCAUGCCUUACACAUGCAAGUCGAACGGCAGCAUGAUCUAGCUUGCUAGAUUGAUGGCGAGUGGCGAACGGGUGAGUAAUGCAUCGGAACGUGCCCUGUAGUGGGGGAUAACUAGUCGAAAGAUUAGCUAAUACCGCAUACGACCUGAGGGUGAAAGUGGGGGACCGCAAGGCCUCAUGCUAUAGGAGCGGCCGAUGUCUGAUUAGCUAGUUGGUGAGGUAAAGGCUCACCAAGGCGACGAUCAGUAGCUGGUCUGAGAGGACGAUCAGCCACACUGGGACUGAGACACGGCCCAGACUCCUACGGGAGGCAGCAGUGGGGAAUUUUGGACAAAGGGCGAAAGCCUGAUCCAGCAAUGCCGCGUGUGUGAAGAAGGCCUUCGGGUUGUAAAGCACUUUUGUCCGGAAAGAAAUGGCUCUGGUUAAUACCUGGGGUCGAUGACGGUACCGGAAGAAUAAGGACCGGCUAACUACGUG
rnacentral:rRNA from 1 species